GAUGAACGCUGGCGGCGUGCUUAAUACAUGCAAGUCGAACGAUGAAGCUCAGCUUUCUGUGUUGUUUAGUUGCCAACGGGUGAGUAACUCGUGAGUAACCAGCCCUUCUCUCUGACUUAGGCAACUUCAACUAGCUCUAGUACCUACCAGAUGCGCCUUCCGCAUGGUUGGUUUUGUAAAAAUUGAUCGGUUUUGGGUGGACUCGCGGCCUAUCCGCUUGUUGGUAAGUUAAUGGCUCACCAAGGCGAAGCCGGGUAGCCGGCCUGAGAGGGUGACCGGCCACAAUGGGACUGAGACACGGACCAGACUGCUACGGGAGGCAGCAGGGGGGAAUAUUGCACAAUGGGGGAAAGCCUGAUGCAGCGACGCCGCGAGAGGGAUGACGGGCUUCGGGUUGUAAACAUCUUUCAGUAGGGAAGAAGAGAAAGUGACGGUACCUGAAGAAGAAGCACCGGCUAACUACGUG
rnacentral:rRNA from 1 species